GAUCCCUUCUUUUUUUGAGUUUUCCACUGCAAGCCUAGAUCCUUGGAUGCAGACCCACUGGGUUACAGAAGUUGGCCUUGCUGACUCCUGCACUGUCCUCAACUGGUUGGACUGGCGGAUUAUGCACCCUACCUUCUGUUAGGAGUUUGUCCUGAUAACAUGAUGGCCAGUUCUAUGUCAACCCAUGAGUUCUACUUUUUGUUUUCCUAAUUCUCUCCUCCAUCCCAUUGGGAAUGGGGGGAGUGAGCAAACGACUGUGCGGUGCUGAGCCACCUGCUGGGUUAAACCACAGCAAUGUACAAGGUUUAUGUCUUUGUGGGCGGAUCUGAAACAAGUGAAUUUCUGAAAAACUCAGUUAAUCUCUAACUCCAGUAUUAUAUUUACCUGUAAAAUUGUAAAAUUCAGAGUACAAUACAAACACAAAGGUUCCAUUCUAGGCACAUUUUCUAAGCCUGCACCAAGUGCAAAGAAGAGUUAUAAUUUUAUAGCCUGACAUCUUGUUCUUUCUCAUAGUCAACAUAGACGGAGAAAUGGGGAACAGCACUUUCUUCCUGUUGAGGCUGUGUGUACUGCCAGUAACUGUAUGAACUGGUUAUCAUGUUCCUUCUUCACAAGUGAUGAAGGAAAUCUAUACAACUAGAAUUGCUCCUUUGAUGAUUUUAAAUGAAAGAAUGGAACCAGGCACAAAGUUUCUAUAAUGUAGCAAGUUAUAUUUCAGUAAUUGAGUAAAAGUAAAGAAUUACAUGCUUAUUAUUAUGACAGAUCCAAAGUCACUUAAGUUUAACCUUUCCUCAGUGCAGCGUAAAAUGUCUUAAAUGACAUCUACCUUGUGCCAGAUUUACAACUUCUGCAAUUCAGUUGAUAAACUUGAUCAUUUGUUUGAGACAGUGGUUGCUUUAUUUUGUAUGGAGUAUUUUGUU